rnacentral:rRNA from 1 species
UACGUAGGGUGCAAGCGUUGUCCGGAAUUAUUGGGCGUAAAGAGCUCGUAGGCGGCUUGUCGCGUCGACUGUGAAAACCCGCGGCUCAACCGUGUGGUCUGCAGUCGAUACGGGCAGGCUAGAGUUCGGUAGGGGAGACUGGAAUUCCUGGUGUAGCGGUGAAAUGCGCAGAUAUCAGGAGGAACACCGGUGGCGAAGGCGGUUCUCUGGGCCUGUACUGACGCUGAGGAACGAAAGCGUGGGGAGCGAACAGG